GUCUCUGUAGUGCAAUGAAUAGCGCUUUGAACUAUUUAUUCAAAGGUCGUGGGUUCAAAUCCUACCUGGGAUG